CAGAGGAAGAGGGCGGGCUUUACUUGGUGUCAGUGAGAGAAAUGAAAAAAAGCUCAAAUGAGUGAGAAGGACGAUGAAGGAAACAUCUGUGCUGUGUCUGCUCUUUCUGAUCUCACUGCUGAGCUGCACAACAAACCAAGCUCGUCUGACUGUGAGUCCCAGCAGCUCUCAGUUCUUUGAAGGAGACUUUGUGUCUCUGAGCUGUGAGGAGGACGACAGCUCUGCUGGAUGGACUCUGAGGAGAAACACAAGCAAAGGACAGAGGACUCAGUGUGGAGAUGG